GGGCGUAAGCGGUGGUUUUGGUGAUGAACAAGAUCCCUGGCUAUCAAAGCUGGUUGCUCUGCCAGGUAACUGCAAGAAAAGAGCAGCUGAAGAGACUGAAUGUGUGCAGGCUGCUGUUCUUUUCCCAAUGGCACCAUAGUGCCCUUUCACAUCUGACUGAGAAAGUCUUCCUGACAGAAGUUGGAGGAUGAUCAGAAAUCUAAUGGCAAGUAAAAGCAAUCUGAAGACUAUGUUGAUAAACAGGAUGCUCUGCCACAAACUACAAAAAAGACAGAAAAAUAUUAUGUUAAUGCUUUUGGAACACAUUACUUACGGUGGUGGCACAGUGGAUGUCUUUCCAUACAUUGGCUUCCCUGGAGAGAUCUGAGACUUCAAAAAGGUUAUCAAGAAUAACUUCCCCAAU